GGGAUAAUGGGUCAAAGUCCUAGAUCUUCUGAAGGCGCCAGACUGGAAAAGACUGCUCGGAUUGAGUUUGUUUCUGCCUGGACUUGAGGCAAUCUGAAGCAGGCUGGCAGAAAUCCAGGAGCUUCUUCCAAGAUGUUACUGCAAGAAAAGCUAAGAAGGCGCCAUGAAAGAAUUCCAGUGACCGUUGUGAUUCCAGGAAAGGCAUGCUGAAAAUGAAAGCAGGAACAUAGUUUGAACCACAGCUUGCCUCCAGUUCUACAUUCUAAGAAUUCAAGCCACGACACGAUUUGAUGUUUGAACUGAGCCUCGUAAAAUGUGCAUAUUUUCUCCCUGCCCUUCAGGAAAACCUCCUUUCUUAAAUGUACCUGUUUUCUGGAAA